GACGAACGCUGGCGGCGUGCCUAAUACAUGCAAGUCGAGCGAAGUUUUUCUGGUGCUUGCACCGGAAAAACUUAGCGGCGCACGGGUGAGUAACACGUAAAGAACCUGCCUCAUAGACUGGGACAACUAUUGGAAACGAUAGCUAAUACCGGAUAAUAGCAUUAACUGCAUGGUUGAUGUUUAAAAGUUGGUUUUGCUAACACUAUGAGAUGGCUUUGCGGUGCAUUAGCUAGUUGGUGGGGUAAAGGCCUACCAAGGCGACGAUGCAUAGCCGACCUGAGAGGGUGAUCGGCCACACUGGGACUGAGACACGGCCCAGACUCCUACGGGAGGCAGCAGUAGGGAAUCUUCCGCAAUGGGCGAAAGCCUGACGGAGCAACGCCGCGUGAGUGAAGAAGGAUUUCGGUUCGUAAAGCUCUGUUGUUAAGGAAGAAUGAGUGUGUAGUAACUAUACACAGUAGAGACGGUACCUAACCAGAAAGCCACGGCUAACUACGUG
rnacentral:rRNA from 1 species